rnacentral:lncRNA from 1 species
CUUAACACCACAUGGAAGUCACCAAGGCUUUUGGCUUGCAUCCUCUGAAGCAGCAGCCCAAGGUAUACCUGGGCCCCUUUGAGCCACAGGUGAGGCUGAAGCAACUAGGAGAAUGGUUGACUGAAUAUUUUAAGCCUCUGUUGAGACCAAAACCUCAGAAGAUUUCUUCAAAAUACUACUGCUCAUUGACAGUACACUUGUCACACAACGGGCUGUGAUGGAAAUGUACAAAGAAAUUUAUAUUGUUUUCAUCCUUGCUAACACAAAAUACAUUCUGAUCCCCAUGGAGCCAGGAGAAAUCUCGACUUUCAAGUUUUUUUUAUUUAAGAAAUAUAUUUCAUAAGACUAUAGUUGCCAUAGAUAGUAAUUUGUCUGAUGGACCUGGGAAAACUAAAUUGAAAACCGUCUGCAACAGUUUCACUGUUAAAGAGGCCAUUGAAAACAUUUAGGAUACCUGUAUGAGGUCAAGAUAUUAACAUUAAUAUGAGUUUGAAAGAAGCGGAUUUUAAUCUUCGUGAAUGAUUUGAGGAGUUUAAGACUUUAUUAGAGGAAAUAAUUGCAAAUGUGGUGGCAAGAGAACUGGAAUUAGAAGUGGAGCCUCAAGAUGUGACUGAAUUGCUGCAAUCCAUGAUCGGACUUGAACAGAUGAGGAGUUGCUUCUUAUGCAUAAGCAAAGAAAUUAGUUUCUUGAAAUGGACUCUGUUCCUG